AUGCCACGUCUUUGCCAAUGCUGCUCAGGACCAUUGACCCAAAAGGGGAAAAAAGAGAAAAACAAAAUCCAUCCAAAGCCCAGUGACCAUCCCUCAGUGUCUGGGCUGGGCAGCUCCCAAAAGAAAACCUGGCCAAGGGAUAUGCACAGAAUUACUUUUUCUCUUUUUGCUUCCUGGCAGCUACAAAUUAGGGGACAACUAGGCUGCUCAGUGGAUAGAGAGCCAGGUCUAGAGAUGGGAGGUCCUGGGUUCAAACCUAGCCUCAGAAAACUUGCCUGGCCCUUACUUUUCUUCUGUCUUGGAACCAAAACUUAAUACUAUUUCUAAAACAGAAGACUUGGGAUUGGAGAACUGUCCAAAUCCUGACUUCAUUGAUUUAUAGUGGACAACUCUGGCACCUUCUCCUUCACAAGAUCUCUGUGCAUCUUCACAGCUCUUAGCACUCUCUUCCUCUUGAAAUUAAUUUGUAUUCAGCUAAUUGUGUAAAUGCUGUAUCUCCCGACAACUAUCCAAGUAGAAUGUAACUCCUUGAGGGCAAGGACUGUUUACCCGUUGUAUCUUUAGUGCAAAGUAAAGAACUAAUAAAGCAAUAACAUUACUAAUUAUUUGAUAUUGG
rnacentral:lncRNA from 1 species